AGAGUUUGAUCAUGGCUCAGGACGAACGCUGGCGGCGUGCCUAACACAUGUAAGUCGAACGGGACUGGGGGCAACUCCAGUUCAGUGGCAGACGGGUGCGUAACACGUGAGCAACUUGUCCGACGGCGGGGGAUAGCCGGCCCAACGGCCGGGUAAUACCGCGUACGCUCGUUUGGGGACAUCCCUGAAUGAGGAAAGCUGUAAGGCACCGACGGAGAGGCUCGCGGCCUAUCAGCUAGUUGGCGGGGUAAUGGCCCACCAAGGCGACGACGGGUAGCUGGUCUGAGAGGAUGGCCAGCCACAUUGGGACUGAGACACGGCCCAGACUCCUACGGGAGGCAGCAGUGGGGAAUCUUGCGCAAUGGCCGCAAGGCUGACGCAGCGACGCCGCGUGUGGGAUGACGGCCUUCGGGUUGUAAACCACUGUCGGGAGGAACGAAUACUCGGCUAGUCCGAGGGUGACGGUACCUCCAAAGGAAGCACCGGCUAACUCCGUGCCAGCAGCCGCGGUAAUACGGAGGGUGCGAGCGUUGUCCGGAAUCACUGGGCGUAAAGGGCGCGUAGGUGGCCCGUUAAGUGGCUGGUGAAAUCCCGGGGCUCAACUCCGGGGCUGCCGGUCAGACUGGCGAGCUAGAGCACGGUAGGGGCAGAUGGGAUUCCCGGUGUAGCGGUGGAAUGCGUAGAUAUCGGGAAGAAUACCAGUGGCGAAGGCGUUCUGCUGGGCCGUUGCUGACACUGAGGCGCGACAGCGUGGGGAGCAAACAGGAUUAGAUACCCUAGUAGUCC
rnacentral:rRNA from 1 species